rnacentral:rRNA from 1 species
UACAGAGGGUGCAAACGUUGUUCGGAAUUACUGGGCGUAAAGCGCGUGUAGGCGGCUAAGUAAGUCGGGCGUGAAAUCCCACGGCUCAACCGUGGAAGUGCACUCGAAACUGCAUAGCUAGAGUCCUGGAGAGGAAGGUGGAAUGCUUGGUGUAGAGGUGAAAUUCGUAGAUAUCAAGCGGAACACCGGUGGCGAAGGCGGCCUUCUGGACAGUGACUGACGCUGAGACGCGAAAGCGUGGGGAGCAAACAGG